AGCGAACGCUGGCGGCAGUCUUAACACAUGCAAGUCGAACGCCCCGCAAGGGGAGUGGCAGACGGGUGAGUAACACGUGGGAACGUACCCUUUGGUUCGGACGAACUCGGCGAAACUCAAGCUAAUACCGGAUCAACCCUUCUGGGGUAAGGUUUGCUGCCGAAGGAUCGUCCCGCGUCUGAUUAGCUAGUUGGUGAGGUAAUGGCUCACCAAGGCGACGAUCAGUAGCUGGUCUGAGAGGAUGACCAGCCACACUGGGACUGAGACACGGCCCAGACUGCUACGGGAGGCAGCAGUGGGUAAUAUUGGACAAUGGGGGCAACCCUGAUCCAGCCAUGCCGCGUGAGUGAUGAAGGCCUUAGGGUUGUAAAGCUCUUUUACCCGGGACGAUAAUGACUGUACCGGGAGAGUAAGCCCCGGCUAACUUCGUGCCAGCAGCCGCCGCCG
rnacentral:rRNA from 1 species